rnacentral:rRNA from 1 species
UACGAAGGGGGCUAGCGUUGCUCGGAAUCACUGGGCGUAAGGGGCGCGUAGGCGGCCAUUUAAGUCGGGGGUGAAAGCCUGUGGCUCAACCACAGAAUUGCCUUCGAUACUGGAUGGCUUGAGUUCGGUAGAGGUUGGUGGAACUGCGAGUGUAGAGGUGAAAUUCGUAGAUAUUCGCAAGAACACCGGUGGCGAAGGCGGCCAACUGGACCGACACUGACGCUGAGGCGCGAAAGCGUGGGGAGCAAACAGG